ensembl:snRNA U6 U6 spliceosomal RNA
GUGCUCACUUUGGGAGCACAUAUACUAAAAUUGGAACAGUACAGAGAAGAUUAGCAUGGCCCCUGAGUAAGGAUGACAUGCAAAUUUGUGAAGCAUUCCAUAUCUUU